AGGUAAGGUACAAAAUUAUUUUUGCAAUAUGUUCCUGAAUAUGUAAUACAAGUGUAUUGGGAACAUUUUGCAUCCAUAGUUUUGUAUCAAUAGAGAAUAAGGCUAGGA
rnacentral:pre_miRNA from 1 species